rnacentral:rRNA from 1 species
AACCGACACAGGUAGGUGAGGAGAGAAUCCUAAGGCCGGCGGAAGAAUUACAGUUAAGGAACUCGGCAAAUUGACCCCGUAAGUUCGCGAGAAGGGGUGCCUACGAGAGUAGGCCGCAGAGAAUAGGCCCAAGCAACUGUUUAGCAAAAACACAGGUCUCUGCUAAAGCGUAAGCUGAUGUAUAGGGGCUGACGCCUGCCCGGUGCUGGAAGGUUAAGGGGAACACUUAGCGCAAGCGAAGGUGUGAACUUAAGCCCCAGUAAACGGCGGCCGUAACUAUAACGGUCCUAAGGUAGCGAAAUUCCUUGUCAGGUAAGUUCUGACCCGCACGAAUGGCGUAAUGACUUGGGCACUGUCUCAACUGUAAAUCCGGCGAAGUUGUAGUGCGAGUGAAGAUGCUCGCUACCCGCGAUUGGACGGAAAGACCCCGUAGAGCUUUACUGUAGCUUAGCAUUGAGUUUUGGUAUUGUCUGUACAGGAUAGGUGGGAGACUAGGAAACCAGGGCGUCAGCCUUGGUGGAGUCAACCUUGGGAUACCACCCUGACAGUACUGAAAUUCUAACUGGCGGCCAUGAAUCUGGUCACAGGACAUUGUUAGGUGGGCAGUUUGACUGGGGCGGUCGCCUCCUAAAAAGUAACGGAGGCGCCCAAAGGUUCCCUCAGAACGGUCGGAAAUCGUUCGAAGAGUGCAAAGGCAGAAGGGAGCCUGACUGCGACACCCACAAGUGGAGCAGGGACGAAAGUCGGGCUUAGUGAUCCGGUGGUACCUCGUGGGAGGGCCAUCGCUCAACGGAUAAAAGCUACCUCGGGGAUAACAGGCUGAUCUCCCCCAAGAGUCCACAUCGACGGGGAGGUUUGGCACCUCGAUGUCGGCUCGUCGCAUCCUGGGGCUGAAGUAGGUCCCAAGGGUUGGGCUGUUCGCCCAUUAAAGCGGCACGCGAGCUGGGUUCAGAACGUCGUGAGACAGUUCGGUCCCUAUCCGUCGCGGGCGUAGGAAAUUUGAGAGGAGCUGUCCUUAGUACGAGAGGACCGGGAUGGACUGACCUCUGGUGUACCAGUUGUUCCGCCAGGAGCACAGCUGGGUAGCUAAGUCGGGAAUGGAUAAACGCUGAAAGCAUCUAAGCGUGAAGCCAACCUCAAGAUGAGAUUUCCCAUAGCGUAAGCUAGUAAGAUCCCUUGAAGAACACAAGGUUGAUAGGUCGGGGGUGUAAGCAUGGUAACAUGUUCAGCUGACCGAUACUAAUAGAUCGAGGGCUUGACCAAAU